UUAUUUGAAAUAGGAUACAACCUCCAACACUGGGUAAAUUAUAGUAACCAAAACAAAGUAGGCCUAAAAGCAGCCACCUUUCAAAAAGCGUCAUAGCUUUACUUCCCUUACACCCCCAAUUAAUAAAAUCUCCCUUAACCCUUCACCAGUACUGAACUAUUUUAUAUCUUUAUAAAAAUAAUUAUGCUAGAACUAGUAACAAGAAUAUUGCCCUUCUCCUAAUGCAAGUAUAAAUCAAAAUGACACCCCAAUGAUAAUUAACGUGAAUACAUAAAGUAUAGUAACAAAUACCAAGAAAAUUCUAUAAUCUCAAACGUUAACCUUACACUAGAGCAUUACAGGAAAGAUUAAAAGAGAAAGAAGGAACUCGGCAAACUUCAGCCCCGCCUGUUUACCAAAAACAUCGCCUCUUGAUUCCCAUAAGAGGUCCAGCCUGCCCAGUGACAAAGUUCAACGGCCGCGGUAACCUAACCGUGCAAAGGUAGCAUAAUCACUUGUUCUCUAAAUAGGGACUCGUAUCAACGGCAUCACGAGGGCUUCACUGUCUCCUUUCUCUAAUCAGUGAAACUGAUCUCCCCGUGAAGAAGCGGGGAUUCUUCC
rnacentral:rRNA from 1 species